rnacentral:rRNA from 1 species
AUUGAACGCUGGCGGCAUGCCUUACACAUGCAAGUCGAACGGCAGCACGGGUGCUUGCACCUGGUGGCGAGUGGCGAACGGGUGAGUAAUACAUCGGAACGUACCUUAUCGCGGGGGAUAACGCAGCGAAAGCUGUGCUAAUACCGCAUACGCCCUGAGGGGGAAAGCGGGGGAUCGCAAGACCUCGCGCGAUUAGAGCGGCCGAUGCCUGAUUAGCUUGUUGGUGGGAUAAAAGCCCACCAAGGCGACGAUCAGUAGCUGGUCUGAGAGGACGAUCAGCCACACUGGGACUGAGACACGGCCCAGACUCCUACGGGAGGCAGCAGUGGGGAAUUUUGGACAAUGGGGGCAACCCUGAUCCAGCAAUGCCGCGUGAGUGAAGAAGGCCUUCGGGUUGUAAAGCUCUUUUGUCAGGGAAGAAACACCGGCUCUAACACAGUCUGGGAAUGACGGUACCUGAAGAAUAAGCACCGGCUAACUACGUGCCAGCCGCCGCAGUAA